rnacentral:lncRNA from 1 species
GGUGUAUUCCGGUGAAACAUGUGUUCGUUUCGUCUUUCUCCGGUGAUGACUCGUAGUUUGAAUCAAGAUGUGGUGACCUAGUGACGCGUGUCCCUUGAUGGCGAGGUCUCAACGCGUGUACGUCCAAGUGAAUUUCCCCGAUGCGUGGUAACGUAUGGCGCCGAUCGGGUUUUCUUUUUUGAGCUUAAUUGUCCUUGUGUUUUGGGCUUUCUGUUUAAUACGUUUGGGCUUUAUGCUGGGCUUAGAUCCUUAUGGUGUUGUAUCUUUUUGUUGUGAUACUUUUAAGAUAAAUG